CCAUUAUGACUUCUCACUCGAUGCUGUAGGCCCUGGGUUUAUCCCCCACCCCCUUUUUUUCCCGAUCCCACACUCUCCCUAAUAUACCACCAGCAUUUAUGGUUUCAACCAUGACUACUACUAGAUCAGUCUGAAAGUGAAAUAUAAUGGUGCUCUGCUUCAAAACGGUCUCUCAGACUUCAAAACUCUCAGCCCAUCUAUAGAACAGCCAAAGGAGAAACUACAGCUCUGUUCUGAGGGACUCAUUUAACAGGUCCUUCACCAACUGUUCUAACACCUUCCAGGGUUCUCACAAGUCUGGACUUUCUCUAGCUCAUCAGAAACCCUCACACAGACAUCCUUCUCCUAACUGAGCACAGGACUGCAGAUGGGAGCCAACAGCCGGUCAACAGAACCAUCAUUCCACCCCUCACUACGAACACUAACUACUUCCAAUCACGCACUAGCUUUUGGAGUAGCAGCCAGGACUACUCUGAGUACGCCUAAAACUUGGGAGUUACCUACCAUCUUUUGGAAUUUAAUUUUUUUAAAAAUAUGUUUAUUAUCCUAUAAAAAUUGCCGUUUUUAAUUGCCUUUUCUGAUUUAUAGUCCUAUGAAUUCUAACACAUGUAUUUCAACGUUAAACGCCUGUAAGAAAUUGCAAUUAUCCCUACUCCGCUUCAUCCUGUGGGAAGCACUGGACAUAUCGGAAUCUAGAGUGGGCAGACACUAUUCCAUAAUGCUGUGCUUCCCAACCUUGGGCUACUGACUUUGGGUACUGGUACAGGUGUAUUAC